rnacentral:rRNA from 1 species
UGCUACGAAAAGAGCACUCUAAUGAGACUGCCGGUGACAAACCGGAGGAAGGUGGGGAUGACGUCAAGUCCUCAUGGCCCUUAUGGGUAGGGCUUCACACGUCAUACAAUGGUACAUACAGAGCGCCGCCAACCCGCGAGGGGGAGCUAAUCGCAGAAAGUGUAUCGUAGUCCGGAUUGUAGUCUGCAACUCGACUGCAUGAAGUUGGAAUCGCUAGUAAUCGCGGAUCAGCAUGUCGCGGUGAAUACGUUCCCGGGUCUUGUACACACCGCCCGUCACACCAUGGGAGCGGGUUUUACCAGAAGUAGGUAGCUUAACCGCAAGGAGGGCGCUUACCACGGUAGGAUUCGUGACUGGGGUGAAGUCGUAACAAGGUAACCAAG